GCUGCAUUGCACAUAUCAAACGCUGGAAGCAAACAUGUCUGCGAUCAAGGUUCAGUUCCUGCUUCUGUUGGUGGUGGCAGCCUUGUUGAUGCUGUUGAAUUCAACAGAAGCAGCACCUCGAGCAAGCCCGAUCUUCUUCGGCAGGUCCAGCAAUCAAGGACGAGACUCUCGUGAGAACAUCUUCGAGACCAUCGGCGAUUUUCUGUUCCGGGGGUAAUCGACGAGCGGGAUUGUGCAAGUCAUCCUGUGUAGCGACCGGCCGGCCUGUCAAGGAGAAGUGAUAUUUCUGAUAUUGCUGUUGGUGCUGAAAUUUUGGAUUGGACCAAGAGAUAAAUUACCUCAAAUUCUUUCGAAGGUGAUCAUCGUGAUUAGUUUUUUACAAAAUUACUUAUUGCACAAAGGUGUAUCGGUGCAAUUACAAUGUAUGACGGGAAUUAUAUUACAAAUUUCCCAAAGAAAAUUCGUUGGUCAAUUUUUUUCUAUGUUUUUGCAUUAUGUGGCACGUGACUCUUCUGUUAGUGGCGCAGCAACUGCCAAUGAAAAAUGAUGUAUAUCCGAUUGUUCACUCCUUUUCUCAUUAGAUGAGACCAUUAAUUUCUAUCAGACAUAAUUAUCUUUAUACGAUUAAAAUUCACCUAAACGACGUGAGGAAAGGUAAUGGAAAAGGGGAAACAGAGUAACAAGAGCCAAACUAUUAAAAAAUUAAAAAUAAAAGUAUCGCUGUGAUUGUAAGUUCUCAGAAUUUUUUUCGUAUAUCGUGAUUUAUAAUUACCUGUUCUUCACGUUGUUAAAACAAACAUAAACAAUUGGAAUUGAUAUAAAAUGAUAACCAAACAAA